UCGGUGACAGGUGCGUGCAUGGCUGUCGUCAGCUCGUGUCGUGAGAUGUUGGGUUAAGUCCCGCAACGAGCGCAACCCUGUCUCAUGUUGCCAGCACGUAAUGGUGGGGACUCGUGAGAGACUGCCGGGGUCGAACUCGGAGGAAGGUGGGGAUGACGUCAAGUCAUCAUGCCCUUAUGUCCAGGGCUUCACACAUGCUACAAUGGCCGGUACAAAGGGCUGCGAUGCCGUGAGGUGGAGCGAAUCCUUGUUAAAGCCGGUCUCAGUUCGGAUCGGGGUCUGCAACUCGACCCCGUGAAGUCGGAGUCGCUAGUAAUCGCAGAUCAGCAACGCUGCGGUGAAUACGUUCCCGGGCCUU
rnacentral:rRNA from 1 species